rnacentral:rRNA from 1 species
CCUACGGGAGGCAGCAGUGGGGAAUUUUGGACAAUGGGCGCAAGCCUGAUCCAGCCAUGCCGCGUGUCUGAAGAAGGCCUUCGGGCUGUAAAGGACUUUUGUCAGGGAAGAAAAGGGCGGGGUUAAUACCCCUGUCUGAUGACGGUACCUGAAGAAUAAGCACCGGCUAACUACGUGCCAGCAGCCGCGGUAAUACGUAGGGUGCGAGCGUUAAUCGGAAUUACUGGGCGUAAAGCGGGCGCAGACGGUUACUUAAGCAGGAUGUGAAAUCCCCGGGCUCAACCUGGGAACUGCGUUCUGAACUGGGUGACUAGAGUGUGUCAGAGGGAGGUAGAAUUCCACGUGUAGCAGUGAAAUGCGUAGAGAUGUGGAGGAAUACCGAUGGCGAAGGCAGCCUCCUGGGAUAACACUGACGUUCAUGCCCGAAAGCGUGGGUAGCAAACAGGAUUAGAUACCCUGGUAGUCCACGCCCUAAACGAUGUCGAUUAGCUGUUGGGCAGCAUGACUGCUUAGUAGCGAAGCUAACGCGUGAAAUCGACCGCCUGGGGAGUACGGUCGCAAGAUUAAAACUCAAAGGAAUUGACGG